rnacentral:tRNA from 1 species
AGAAUGGCAGAGGAUAAAGUGCGAUAGUUUUAGGGACUAAUUAUGAAAGUGGAGUUCUUUCUUUU